rnacentral:lncRNA from 1 species
UUUCUGAUUCUAGUGGAAGGGAAUUGACACAGUUCCUGUCCCACCUGCCAAAGCUAUCCAAACUGGAAGUAUCUUCUUGUAAAAACAUAACACAGUUGGUUGUGGGGGUGGAUUUGCAGCAACCAACAGUACCAAUAGUAUCAUCGUCAACCUCUUUAGAUGUUAUAACAAUGGAUGAUACACAAGUGAAAGAUGAGCAGCAAGAAAUAGCAGAGGUGGAGGAGGAGGCAAACACGAUGGAUGAUGAUGGGCUGUUGCUCCUCCGUGCACAUCUCUCCAACUCUCUGCAGGCGUUGCACAUCCGCACAGGUGGUGGUGUGGUAGUUCAUUCCCUCGAAGCCCUCCAAGCCCUAACUAGACUUCAGUUAGAAUAUUGCUCUUUUCGCCACCCUUUCCCGUCCUCCCUGCUACAGCUGAAACUUUCGUCCGUGAAGGGCGUGCUGACCCUUUCAAACCUCACCUCUCUAACUCGAUUAGAAAUAUAUGGUUGCGGAGAGGAUUUUAGAUGCGAGGGCCUGUUGCCUCUCCUUACUCGGGGCCAGCUCAGCGAUUUAGACGUUCAAAAAAGCCCCAAUUUCUUUGGUAGGUGGGAGUGGGAUCCCAGUGCCCCAAUUUCGAGGUCCUCCAAACUGCAGAUGCUCAACACAGAUGACAUCCACGGCUUCCUCGGUGCGCCCGCCCUCUGUAGCCUCCUCUCUUCCUCCCUCACCGACUUGUCCUUUAUGGGGGACCAUGAGACGGCGCGCUUCAUAAACGAGCAGGAGGAGGCCUUUCAAUGCCUCACAUCGCUCCAGCGACUCGAGUUUUGGUUUUGUUAUAAGCUGGAACACCUCCCUGCCGCGCUAAACAAGCUGACCAACCUCAAGAGAUUAGUAAUCUUCGGGUGUCUUGCCGUCCGGUCGCUGCCCAAGGACGGCCUCCCGAGUUCACUGCGAGAAUUAGUUGCCCAAGGAGUCAACGAGGAGCUACGAGAGCACUGUAAGCGGUUAAUUGGAACCAUCCCGAAAAUCAUAAUAUAGACCAAUGGGGUGGACACGGUCCGGUCCGGUCCGGUCCCGGUCCGACCCGUCUUUUGGACCGGCCGCCGGCGGACCGGACCGAGCAGGCUGGCUGUCCUCUUUUCAGGGACCGCACCGACGAGGCAAAAGCCCGGGCCAGACCGGCGGACCGGCCAACAACUAGUGCAAAGCCAGGUGGUGACCAUGGCAUCGGCUAGCGGAGACUCUAGGCCGUAAUCAGAAGCAGGGACAGAGGGAAAAGGUGCGGUAAGUCAUGUAGAGUUCGAUAGCGAGGUCCGGGAGGCCGGGGAAGUAGUGACGGAGACGCAAUCGACGACGAACGACGACGGCUGGAGCUGGAGAUGGAGCAUGAUGGCGACUGAUUUGUGGCGAAUCCGGUCGAUUCGUUGCGAGGGGAAGGAGAUCUCAUGCUUGCGAAGCUCCUGGACAUGGUGGUUCGUCAUAGAGAUGCCGGUGACCGCGUCCGCAAGAGCUUGUGCGCUGGACGGCCGCAGCCGUGGCACAGGUACAUGUCCCCCGCCACACCUCCUGCAGUACGCCCCCGCCAUGCUCGUGCCGUCCAGGCUGAGACCAAUCCAAAGUAACAGAUACUUCCUUGCUCGUGCCAAUUCCUUAUUUCCAUAAAUACUUCUUUUUUUUCCUGAUCACACAGAUGCCAGCUCGUUUUUCUUUUGGUGUGGUGUACCUCGUUACUGUGUAUCCUGAACAUCGUUUGUCUCCGUCGGCUGUGCAGCUGGUCUCUCCGUCUUGGAGUUGUACAUUCUUCUAGCCUUGUGGAAUUAUAUAUCCGCAUCUAUGGACAGUUGGCGUAUGUGAGAUCCUGUGGUAAUUUUUCAUGCCAAUACAUCUGGUAAGUAGAUGCAAAUUGUCUGAAAAGUAUAUAUAGUUAUCUGUCUGAUAAAAAUUGCCCCCAGUUAUCUUGAGCGCAUGAUUUUUAUUAAUAUACGAGUAUGUGAUUAACAAUUGGAGGGCUUGUCUAUCCAAAUUUGGUGUACUAACCAAUUUACAUAAGCAUAAUGGUAAUAAAUAGUUAAAUACACAAAAGUGAGCUUCUUUUCUUUCGUCUAUGCAAAAUUAACCUUGUUAGCCUGAUCUAAGGAUAGUGUAUCUAUUUGUAUCUCUCCAGAGAUAAUGCGAAAUUUUAAUUAUUCACAAAACCUGCCUUGUUUCUGUUUGGCAUAGCACAGGACUAGUUCUUUUUUCCCUCAGAUUCACCAUUUGUUUUUUGUUGCAGGUUUCCUUGUGUUUGUCAAGGAAACAAGUGAAGGGAGAAGAGGAAGUCCCAUUUCUUCAUCAAGUCGACGGACAGUCACGCAAGGUUGAACAUGAAAUUUGUACGUACAAUCUCUUCAGUCUUAAUUCAGAGGAGCACUGGAUCUGCAUGGAUUUUCCAGAGAGCAGCAGUUUCAGAGCAGUGCAAUUUUGAAAAAGGGCCAUUUGAAUGGUGAAAACAAUGUUACCAUGGAACAUUGAUAGCUUGUACAGCAGCAAUGCUCUCAGUGUUUGUUUCGGCAUUGAUUUGCGACAACUAAGCACCAUGUUGCAUCAUUGAGGAGCUAGGACAACAGUUCAUCAGGACUAUCCUGAAAAUCAUACUAGAGCACUAGACCAAUCCAAGGUAAAAAAAAAACUUCCCUGUCUGCUCAUCCAAAUACCCAACAUUACCUUGCUUUUUCAUGCUCUCGCAUAUGAAGUCAUAUUUUGGAUCUGCUUACCUCAUUACUGCAAAAUCUUAACACUGUUUUUCUAUCUACUUUACAGGUUCUCUUGCGACUUUUGAGGAGUUGUACAUUUUUUAGCCUUGUCGAGUCCUCCCUGUUUAUGCAAAGUUCACACAUGGGGAUCUUUUGUGGCAUCUUCUUACUGCACAUCAUACAUAAAUCUGGUAAGUACAUGCUCAACUCCUUCAACGAUAUUACGGAUACCUAGAUGUUUUUUUUUGAACCGAGAAAUAUCAAAAAAAAAUCAACUUGAUCCUCAGCUGAUGCCAUUCAGAAUUUCCUUCUCUUCCUUCAUGAACGAUUUUAUAAUGAAUUCAAAAUUUUAUUUGUUGUGCAGAUAUUCUUAUGCUUGUUCUGGUUGGUUUCGAGAUAUUGGUCAUCAUUCACCAAAACUUGCUGGUGUACUUGUUAAGCUGUGAGGAUCAUAAUGGGGGAAUAACUGAUAUUUUGCUGAUUUGCUAUUGAAACUAAGGUGUGCAGUUUCUUCAGUUCGAUGCUAUAUUGAUAGGAUAGGAGGUGUACCUGCAUUUGUCAUAAGCUUUGUUGCUAAAUGAAAUUUUGUUAAUUACAGGAACAUUUUACCAGAAUACCUUUCUUACCAUGUGAGUGCUUGCGUGGAGCACAUUGAGAUCUCGGGCUUUCACUAAUUGGUAUGCCUUGUCUAUUCACACUCUUACAAAAGUCUAAAAGGACUCGUGUAUUUGUCUUACGUUCCGAACUUUUUAGGCUGAACUAAGCUUCUUGGUUGCUGAAUAGACGUGGUCCGUGGACAACUUUGGAAUUGAACAAUGCAGCAGUAGCAGAUUUGUGGAAAGGUCAGUAAACCCCUGCUGAAAUUCGUGAUGGGUUUAGCUAUGGUAGAUUGAAUUCAGUGUGCAAUUGUCGAACUCUUAUUGCCUCAUGAGACCUAUGUUAGACAACUUCCUGCUUUCUUGAUAAGUUGGCAGUCUAGCUUUUGAGCACACUCAUAAUCUCUGAAUGCAUUGUCAUGCUGAAUUAAGUUACACAAGAGAGUUUUCAGCUGAUACAUAUAGUGGUAAAGGUAGAGAACACUUGUUACUAGGUGAUUGAUGAACAUUGAUUGAGCAAAAAAAGACUUGAGCUUGCUAAUUUUUAUUCCUAGAACCUCCUGAAUUUAGUAUGGUGAAGGUGAUUUUAUUCUCUUCUUCAUCCCGAGUAUUUUGUUCUGUCCCACCAUUGCCAAAAACAGCAUAUUUCGUAAGCCUUUGAUUAUUGCAAUCUGAAUUUCUAGUGCGUAUUGUUAAGUUUGAUGUUCCUCUAGUCUGAAGUCUUUGAAAUCCAGUCAUUCCAUUUGCGUAACUUUUGUUGUCUAGCCUCUUCAAGACUCGUCAUUGCAUUCCUUCAUCAGGAAACUCUGCUGGUGUACAUAUACAGAUCCCAGAAAAUAAACCAUUUCUUCCAUGUGUUCACACCAUACCUACCUAACCACCUACCUAUAAUCACAUCUCUCACUAUCCCACAGUAGUUGAUUAUUCCAUAAGCACAAAUGCACAAUCAUCAAGUUAAAAGAAGACUCAAAAGCGCUUUGUUGUCAUUGACCCUGCAAAUUUCAUCAUUAUGAAGAGCUAUAUUCGUUAAUAUCUAUGCCUCUCUCACAAAAGUCAAAAAAGUAAUAAAGAAAAAGAGUGAGGGAGGUCAUUCAAAAGAUUAAAGGUUCAUCCACAAGCAGGAAGAAAUAGUCAGCAGUCCUUCCAUAUUCAUGUGCAGAAUGCAAAAUGGCUAAUCAAACUACUAUAUACCUAUGCAAUAUUGACAGCUGGAGUAUGAGUCGCAUCCUGAGACCACCUUGCAUUGCAUAGGCAUCUCAAUCAUUUCUUUGGCGUGAGUCCAUCCCUCCCACAUCCCCUGGACACUACCUUUCCCCAAUGACUGGAAUGUGAAGAUUUCUCUGUACUGGAGUUGAACUCUUAUUUAGCUUUGCAAUCUUGAUUUUAGAUUUGCUCGUUCUUUCAAUUACCCUACCAAGAUCCAGAUAAGCUUCCACAAAUAUAUUGUAGAUAGGAAAACACUUUGGCCACUGGCCAGUGAGGAUUACAAUUAUGUGAUGAGAGUAAUUUCGGAUCAUGAUGAGGUAAUCUCACUAGAUACCUGCUCUUGGAAGGUUCGCAAAGAAAUAAAAUUGUUGGCUACUCCUGUUUCCAUUUGUUCUUGACAUUGAAGUCAAACAACCAAGUGAUUAGUGUUCAAUAACUGUUAUAGCUAUAUUGUUGAUGCUGGUUACUCUCAAAAAAUAAAAUCCAUUCCCUACUGGCAAUGAAUAAGAGUAGUUAUUUAAGUGUGUGCUCAAUCGUUAGCUUGCUACUUUGACAAGUUUGUGGGAAGUGCCUCUGUCCGAAGCUCAUGAGGAUUAUAGUAACUGUUUGCACAUGAGCACUUGUUUCCAAUCUAGCUAUGCUAAGCUUUCAGGUUUUUCACAAGCACAUGGGCAAGUUGAAUCAGGAGCCUAAAUCAUCUGGCCACGAUCUGAGACACUUUUUCUCGAGUGAAGAAUCAGAAAGGGAGAAGCCUGAGACAAAUCGUACCUUUUGUUUCUCUUUGUAGCCACUUUCUCCCUGAUAAUGCUAUAAGGAAGAGAGAAUGGUUUUUUCACACCUAGUACUAUUUUCCUUGUAGCUUCAACCUUUAGCAGGUUUUGAUGAGUGGUACGAAAACAGGGCAAAAAACUUCAUUUGUUUUCUCGGUGUGGACAAUGUAUAUCCAGUGAAAUGAAAUUCAGUUCUUUGUAAUAGUAUCUUCAUAUCUGAACCUAUGCUUGGGUGUCACUUUUGGUUGCCUGUGCUAAAGCAUAGUUAAAUAAAGGCACUGCAAUGGUUCACUGCAGGAUCUUCCUGGUUGCCUUUUAAUACCCAAUUGGCAAUUUGAAGCAAUCAUUGUGGCCAUGUUGUUUUUCUUUUAUGAGGAAAACAAAUGAUGUGAUUUAUGUUUACACAGGGUUUUGCUAUAUGCACAGGCAGAUAGGCGACUCGGGCGACCUNNNNNNNNNNNNNNNNNNNNNNNNNNNNNNNNNNNNNNNNNNNNNNNNNNNNNNNNNNNNNNNNNNNNNNNNNNNNNNNNNNNNNNNNNNNNNNNNNNNNAACUUGAAAUUGAUUAAGGUGACAUAAUUGUGAGUCACGAUAAGACUUGAUGUCUUUGAAAAAACUAAAUGGGAGAUCAUUCGCGAUGUGCUCAUGGUAGCAUGUUUCUCUUAAGCGAAUAUUCAAGGUGAAUAUGUAUUCAUUCAUUGUGUACUUAGUUCGAGAACCAAGUGAAGUUGGUGACAUAUAAAAUGCAUAUGUGCAUCAAUAGAAUAGCCAUGUGUUACAUGAAAUGAUCAUGCAUUAUUUAAUUUACUUCUUGGAGUAAAAUAAACUAUAUGGAUGAAAUGAUCUUGUUGACCAAAAUCCGCCAAGGUGAUGCUUGGUGAACAUGGGGUGUAAACCUUCAAUAUAGUGCAUGCGAUGAAAUCAUUGCUAAUGUUUUGGACUUCAUUCUUGAGGAAGUGUGAGAUUUUAUUUCACUCCAAAAUGUAUAGACUUUGCAUGUUUAACAUUGGUUAGUAACUAUGAAAGUAUAACCACAUUUUGAUGUGGACCUUCCGGAAGUGUUGAUACACUCAAUCGUUGCCAUAAAUUAUGGUACCCGUCUUGAUGGACGAACGUCGCUGUAAUUAGAAAUAAUGACAUCGGCUUCAGUGCCAUGCAUUUUACCAAUGUAAUAAAAGGUAAUCGUUGGAGUAUGCAAAUAUUUGCAUAAUUUCUGAAGACCUAUUCAAGAAAAUUGAGGCUUGAAUAAUUCAUAUUGGCACAAAAAUACUAUUUCAGCCUGUAGUGACUAUGCAUGAAUGAUAUUUUACUAUGAGCGUAAUAUAUUUUAGUGAACAACAACAAUAAAUGCUUCAGAGGAGCAAAUUUUAGUACGGCUGAUGCCUUAUAGCCAUAUGUGUAGACCUCAAUUUAUAUAGGAUGACACUUUGAAGAUAAUCACCAAUAUGGUAUAGAUCUCUUAGUAAUAGAAAACAUAGUCUAACUUUUGUCAGUAGAUGUUUAUAAUUCUAUUACCUUAUGUUAUGCUAAAUCUGUAAAAUUACUUUAAAGGUAAUCAUCUGUCAAUGUGACAUGAUGUAGACCUUGCAGUAAUAGUGGAUAGUCUGCAAAUUAUGCAGUAGAUCGCACAAUUACCUUGUGAUUCGCAAAAAGUUGAGGUAGUCACAUCAAUUCACAUAUUCGGGAGAGCACUCGAAGAUAGUCAUUUUGCCAAAAGAAGGAGGCAAAUGUAGAUCUUUCAUCGAUGAGGAUAAUCUGCAAAGUGCAGUAGAUGCCUCAUCUACCUUGUGAUCCCAAAAUUUGAAUUGUAAAAAAAUGUUGUAUUUGAGAAUUACAUAUUCUAAAAAAAAUGCUGAGGCAAUCAUAUAGAAUAUGUACACAUAGUUCGAGAUUUUAUUUUAGACGAUACAUAGUCUAAAUAUUCAAACGUAUAAUACAAUAUUGAAUGAAUAUGAUAAAAAUAGGUUCUUAAUACAAUAAGAAAUCACAAUGAAAUAAAAGGAACAUGCUGCUGUGCAAUAUGGUAAUACUAUGGUUAUCUUUUGUUGAAAACACCACAACGCGCAUCCACUUUAUUGGAAUUCUUGGCUGCAGGCCUGUUUGGGUGAGGAACGUUAUGACUUGGGCUGGCCCAUGCAUCCACAAAGGAAAGGAUAAGGAGCGCACGGACGAGGGUUUCCCCACGUCGUUACACCCGUUCCCCACUCUCAGAUCGAUCUGGUGCACAACACCUCACCACGCCGGCCCUCCCCUACCCCAUGCCGUCGUCUUAAGGGAGGUGGCGUGAUCCCCUUGUCACCGCACCGCCCCCGCCGUUGUUGCUCGACCCGGGGGCGUCGGUGAGGGUGAGGGCCACCGGCGACCACGCGCCCCGGACGGCUGCGCGGAUCUGCGCCAUGGCCGCGGCGAACUACUGCAGGAUGCGGCGCACCACCGGUGGAGGCGUCGGGAGGAGGGGUGGCGUUGGAGGCGGUAGUGAUGUCGCCGGUGAUGGAGGAGGCGACGGCGUCGACGACGAGCCCUGGCCCUUCGUCUCCUCUUCUUCCACCUUGGUGGCGUUGUUCAGAUCGGGAGCGGCGGUGUAACCGCCAGUUUUCACUGCUGCCGGCGUCGGGGACAGGAGGUCCGGGACAGUGUAAGGAUGGAUUCGUUGCUCCGAUCGCUGGUUGUUGGCCGUUCGUCAUCGGGAGCCGCGAUGGGAGCGCGUCUGCAGCGGGUUCUGCCGAUCGGUCAAGACCAAGUGGUGCCACGUCGUUGGGCGCAACACGCCAUGGAGUGCUGCGCCGGGAGGAGCAGUGUCGGGACAAAGGUCGCCGCGUUGCAUCCCCGUCUCCGUCGUGCACCAUAGUCUCGCCGACGGCGAGCAUGGCCUCAUCGCUGCUUCUCUCUUGUCAUGUGGCCUAACGCUCUUGCAGAGGCGUGCUGAUAACAUGUGAAGAAUAAAAGAGAGAAGAAGAGCAAAUGAUGAAAAUCGCUCUCUCGUUGAUUGAAGAUGUGGGUAUAUAUACCCGAGUACAAAGGCGGUUACAAGGAGCAGUUGCUAAACUAAAGCAACCGACAUAGCAGGGAUUAUCCCUUAAUUAAUGUAUUUAUUAAUUAAUUCCUAACAGUUAGUAGAGUUUGAUCGUUCAAUAUGUUUCCCCGUUACUGUAUAUUAAUGGACGCAAGUCAAUGAGUACUCCCUGAUGAACCACUCCAAGGAUGUUACUUCUUCAGCAAGGGCCUGUGUUCUGCUGACUUUGCGAAAGAUGAUGAAGCGUCUCAACCCUUCAGAGGAGAGCCUGCGGGUUUAUAUUGAUAGAACGAGAGAACCGAGGAUUACAAUGUUCGAUUUGAGUAGAAACAGAAGAAGGGAUAUAAUCUCGAACUACUUUAAACUAUAACAAACUCUAUCUAUACCUCUAGCUAUCCUUGGCACACGAGCCAUGCUAAACCGAGAGAGGAGGAGGAGAUCAACCAUGACUGCUGUCACAUUAUGUUAUGUCCAAUACCCUCCCUUAAUUACAAUUGCGCUCCAAGUUGAGAUUACGUUUGAACUCUUCAAAGCCUCUAGCUAACAAUGCUUUUGUAAACCCAUCUGCAAGCUGAUCCUUGGAGGGGAUAAAUCUGAUUUCUAACUGCUUGUUUGCAACUCGUUCUCUCACAAAGUGAAAGUCUAUUUCAAUAUGCUUAGUCCUGGCAUGAAACAUGGGGUUAGCAGACAAGUAUGUAGCGCCUAGAUUAUCACACCAGAGACAAGGAGGCAAAGUUUGUUGAAUUCCAAGUUCCUUCAACAUAUACAUCAACCAAAUCACCUCAGCUGUUGCAUUUGCUAAUGCUUUAUAUUCUGAUUCUGUACUUGACCUUAAGACAGUUGCUUGUUUCUUGGCACACCAUGAAAUUAAGUUUGGCCCAUAGAAAAUUGCAAACCCAUCAGUGGAUCUUCUAUCAUCAAGACAACCGACCAAUCCACAUCGGAAAAGGCACUAAUACGAGUAGAUGAAGAUUUUCUAAAAGCUAAACCAAGACUGGUUGUAUUCUUCACAUACCUGAGAAUGCGCUUUGCUGCUGUCCAAUGUGCAGUGGUGGGUGCAUGCAAAAACCGGCAAACUUUGUUUACUGCAAAUGAUAUCUCAGGCCAAGUCAGAGUCAAAUACUGAAGAGCACCAACAAAACUCCAAUAACUGGUAUUAUCUUCCUGAUUCAAGAGUUCUCCUGGAGUCAGAGUCAAUGACACCGAGCUGGACAAAGGUGUAGGUGACGGCUUGUAAUCCUUCAUGCCAACUCUAUUUAACAAAUCAUUUGCAUAUUUUUCUUGGGAGAGAUUAAUACCAUCCUUUAUUUUCUUUACCUCAAUUCAUAAGAAGAAAUGCAACUCCCCUAGAUCCUUUAGAGCAAAUUUUGAACUUAAAUCCUUAAGCAAACCAGCAAUUGCAUCAUUAGAGGAACUAGUUACAAUGAUAGCAUCAACAUAUAUGAGAAUAAAUAUGGAUGUCUUGAACUUGUUAUAAAUAAACAAGGAUGUGUCAGAUUUUGAUGGCACAAACCCAAGCUGCUGCAUCUUUGCACUAAGGAGAGAGUACCAUGUUCUGGGAGCCUGUUUCAGUCCAUACAAGGCUUUAUCAAGCUUACAGACAUGAAAUGGUGAAUUCUUAUCCUCAAACCCAGAAGGUUGUUUCAUAUACACUUCCUCUUUCAGAACACCAUGAAGAAACACAUUAUUCACAUCUAGCUGGCGAAGACUCAAUCCCUUGGAAACGACAAUGGAUAAAACUAGACCAAUAGAAGCAGCUUUAACAACAUGGCUUAUCAGUUCUAUUCAACCCCAGCACCAGCUCACUUAACAGGCACUUGUUGAUAUAUCUAUCAUAUCAAUCCUAUUAAACCUUGUUGAUGUCUAGGACUUUGUUCAUGUUAAGAAUGUGAUGAAAUUUUAAAAAAAUAUUUCAAACUUCCGGUCAUAUUACGUAUCAUAUUUUGAACUAUUUUUACUAAAAAAAAAAUUCAAAACCAAUUUUUUUCUAUUACUAGUGGCGCACCUAGCAAAUGGUGCGCCAUUACUAAGUUUGAAUUUUUUUUCCAUUUUCCCCCUCUAGAUCUUAAAAGCCCCGUAUCUUUUAUUCUGUUAGGUUUUUGGGGAUUCUAAAAAUCUUCAACGGGUCCCCCCUGUUGAAUUCAGGUGUAACUUUUCAAGUAGAUGAUUUUUCAUAUAAAAAAUAUUUCAAACUUCCCAGUCAUAUUACGUAUCAUAUUUUUAWYAUUUWWWCAAAAAAAAAAAAUCGAAACCAAUUUUUUUAUCUGUUACUAGUGGCGCACCUAGCAAAUGGUGCGUCAUUACUAAGUUUGAAAUUUUUCCAUUUUUCCCUCUAAAUCUUAAAAGCCCCGUAUCUUUUAUUCUAUUAGGUUUUUGGGGAUUCUAAAAAUCUUCAACGGGGUUAAACCGAGAGAGGAGGAGGAGAUCAACCGUGACUGCUGUCACAUUAUGUUAUUUUCAAUAGACUCCAGCUCAUGGCUGUGCAUACAACAAAACCCUGUGUAUCUUGUCGAAUCUUGUGUCGUAAACAGAAAUCGCGGUUUUUUCCUAAGGAAAGAAAAACAACAUGCUAACGAGUGAUUGGUUCAGGUUGCCAAUUGGUUAUCAAAAGGCAACCAGGAAGCUUCUGCAGUGAACCAUUACCGUGUCUUUAUUUAUUUAUAUCCGGUUGCACAUGCAACUAAAAUUGAUACCCAAGCAUAGGUUCAGAUAUGAAGAUACUAUUGCAAAGAAUUGCAUUUCAUUUCCCUUAAUUUACAUGUCCACACCGAGAAAACAAAUGAAAUUUUUUGACCUGUUUUCAUACCACUCAUUGAAACCUGCUACAGGUUGAAGCUACAAGGAAAAAUAGUACUAGGUGUGAAAAAACCAUUCUCUCUUCCUUAUAGCAUUAUCAGGGACGAAGUGGCUACAAACAGAAACAAAAGUUACGGUUCAUCUCAGGCUUCUCCCUUUCUGAUUCUUCACUCGAGAAAAAGUCUCUCAGAUUGUGCCCAGAUGAUUUAGGCUCCUGAUUCAACCUACCCAUGUGCUUGUGAAAUACCUGAAAGCUUAGCAUAGCUAGAUUGCAAACAAGUGCUCAUGUGCAAACAGUUACUAUAAUCCUCAUUAGCUUCGGACAGAGACACUUCCCACAAACUUGUCAAAGUAGCAAGCUAACGAUUGAGCACACACUUAAAUAACUACUCUAAUCCAUUGCCAGUAGGGAAUGGAUUUCAUUUUUUGAGAGUAACCAGCAUCAACGAUAUAGCUAUAACAGUUACUGAACACUAAUCACUUGGUUGUUUGACUUCAAUGUCAAGAACAAAUGGAAACAGGAGUAGCCAACAAUUUUAUUCCUUUGUGAACCUUUCAAGAGCAGGUAUCUAGUGAGAUUACCUCAUCAUGAUCCGAAAUUACUCUCAUCACAUAAUUGUAAUCCUAACUAGCCAGUGCCAAAAGUGUUUUCCUAUCUACAAUAUAUUUGUGGAAGCUUAUCUGGAUCUUGGUAGGGGAAUUAAAAGAAUGAGCAAAUCUGAAAUCUAGAUUGUAAAGCUAAAUAAGAGUUCAACUCCAGUACAGAGAAGUCUUCACAUUCCAGUCAUUGGGGAAAGGUAGUGUCCAGGGGAUGUGGGAGGGAUGGACUCACGCCAAAGAAAUGAUUGAGAUGCCUAUGCAAUGCAAGGUGGUCUCAGGAUGCGACUCAUACUCCAGCUGUCAAUAUUGCAUAGGUAUAUAGUAGUUUGAUUAGCCAUUUUGCAUUCUGUACAUGAAUAUGGAAGGACUGCUGACUAUUUCUUCCUGCUUGUGGAUGAACCUUUAAUCUUUUGAAUGACCUCCCUCACUCUUUUUCUUUAUUACUUUUUUGACUUUUGUGAGAGAGGCAUAGAUAUUAACGAAUAUAGCUCUUCAUAAUGAUGAAAUUUGCAGGGUCAAUGACAACAAAGCGCUUUUGAGUCUUCUUUUAACUUGAUGAUUGUGCAUUUGUGCUUAUGGAAUAAUCAACUACUGUGGGAUAGUGAGAGAUGUGAUUAUAGGUAGGUGGUUAGGUAGGUAUGGUGUGAACACAUGGAAGAAAUGGUUUAUUUUCUGGGAUCUGUAUAUGUACACCAGCAGAGUUUCCUGAUGAAGGAAUGCAAUGACGAGUCUUGAAGAGGCUAGACAACAAAAGUUACGCAAAUGGAAUGACUGGAUUUCAAAGACUUCAGACUAGAGGAACAUCAAACUUAACAAUACGCACUAGAAAUUCAGAUUGCAAUAAUCAAAGGCUUACGAAAUAUGCUGUUUUUGGCAAUGGUGGGACAGAACAAAAUACUCGGGAUGAAGAAGAGAAUAAAAUCACCUUCACCAUACUAAAUUCAGGAGGUUCUAGGAAUAAAAAUUAGCAAGCUCAAGUCUUUUUUUGCUCAAUCAAUGUUCAUCAAUCACCUAGUAACAAGUGUUCUCUACCUUUACCACUAUAUGUAUCAGCUGAAAACUCUCUUGUGUAACUUAAUUCAGCAUGACAAUGCAUUCAGAGAUUAUGAGUGUGCUCAAAAGCUAGACUGCCAACUUAUCAAGAAAGCAGGAAGUUGUCUAACAUAGGUCUCAUGAGGCAAUAAGAGUUCGACAAUUGCACACUGAAUUCAAUCUACCAUAGCUAAACCCAUCACGAAUUUCAGCAGGGGUUUACUGACCUUUCCACAAAUCUGCUACUGCUGCAUUGUUCAAUUCCAAAGUUGUCCACGGACCACGUCUAUUCAGCAACCAAGAAGCUUAGUUCAGCCUAAAAAGUUCGGAACGUAAGACAAAUACACGAGUCCUUUUAGACUUUUGUAAGAGUGUGAAUAGACAAGGCAUACCAAUUAGUGAAAGCCCGAGAUCUCAAUGUGCUCCACGCAAGCACUCACAUGGUAAGAAAGGUAUUCUGGUAAAAUGUUCCUGUAAUUAACAAAAUUUCAUUUAGCAACAAAGCUUAUGACAAAUGCAGGUACACCUCCUAUCCUAUCAAUAUAGCAUCGAACUGAAGAAACUGCACACCUUAGUUUCAAUAGCAAAUCAGCAAAAUAUCAGUUAUUCCCMCAUUAUGAUCCUCACAGCUUAACAAGUACACCAGCAAGUUUUGGUGAAUGAUGACCAAUAUCUCGAAACCAACCAGAACAAGCAUAAGAAUAUCUGCACAACAAAUAAAAUUUUGAAUUCAUUAUAAAAUCGUUCAUGAAGGAAGAGAAGGAAAUUCUGAAUGGCAUCAGCUGAGGAUCAAGUUGAUUUUUUUUUUGAUAUUUCUCGGUUCAAAAAAAAAACAUCUAGGUAUCCGUAAUAUCGUUGAAGGAGUUGAGCAUGUACUUACCAGAUUUAUGUAUGAUGUGCAGUAAGAAGAUGCCACAAAAGAUCCCCAUGUGUGAACUUUGCAUAAACAGGGAGGACUCGACAAGGCUAAAAAAUGUACAACUCCUCAAAAGUCGCAAGAGAACCUGUAAAGUAGAUAGAAAAACAGUGUUAAGAUUUUGCAGUAAUGAGGUAAGCAGAUCCAAAAUAUGACUUCAUAUGCGAGAGCAUGAAAAAGCAAGGUAAUGUUGGGUAUUUGGAUGAGCAGACAGGGAAGUUUUUUUUUACCUUGGAUUGGUCUAGUGCUCUAGUAUGAUUUUCAGGAUAGUCCUGAUGAACUGUUGUCCUAGCUCCUCAAUGAUGCAACAUGGUGCUUAGUUGUCGCAAAUCAAUGCCGAAACAAACACUGAGAGCAUUGCUGCUGUACAAGCUAUCAAUGUUCCAUGGUAACAUUGUUUUCACCAUUCAAAUGGCCCUUUUUCAAAAUUGCACUGCUCUGAAACUGCUGCUCUCUGGAAAAUCCAUGCAGAUCCAGUGCUCCUCUGAAUUAAGACUGAAGAGAUUGUACGUACAAAUUUCAUGUUCAACCUUGCGUGACUGUCCGUCGACUUGAUGAAGAAAUGGGACUUCCUCUUCUCCCUUCACUUGUUUCCUUGACAAACACAAGGAAACCUGCAACAAAAAACAAAUGGUGAAUCUGAGGGAAAAAAGAACUAGUCCUGUGCUAUGCCAAACAGAAACAAGGCAGGUUUUGUGAAUAAUUAAAAUUUCGCAUUAUCUCUGGAGAGAUACAAAUAGAUACACUAUCCUUAGAUCAGGCUAACAAGGUUAAUUUUGCAUAGACGAAAGAAAAGAAGCUCACUUUUGUGUAUUUAACUAUUUAUUACCAUUAUGCUUAUGUAAAUUGGUUAGUACACCAAAUNNNNNNNNNNNNNNNNNNNNNNNNNNNNNNNNNNNNNNNNNNNNNNNNNNNNNNNNNNNNNNNNNNNNNNNNNNNNNNNNNNNNNNNNNNNNNNNNNNNNAUUCUACAAAAUUACCAAAUAGUAAAAAAAAGUUAUAGGUAAAAAAAAGAUUUUUUUCAAUAAAAUAAAAAUAAUAAUUUUAUUACUUAUUUUAUUAUCAAUAAAAAUUCAAUAUUAUUAUUACUUAGUUUGUUUAUUUUAAUGAUUAUUUGGAUUUCAAACAAUUUGUGACAUCAAGACCUAAGGGUUAAUAGGAUUGAUAGCUUACUAUUGUUAGCAAAACAACAAGUGGAGACUUGGAAGAUAGGGCGAUAGAACCAGGAAGUUAAGCGUGCUCAGGCUGUAGCAGGGCUACUACUAAAGUUUAGCUGUAGCGCGAUAGCAGUAGCGCUUGGCCCAACUAAGGCCCUUAGUAGUAGUAGCACUGCCCGUACCAGCGCUACUACUAAAGUUUAGCUGUAGCGCGAUAGCAGUAGCGCUUGGCCCAACUAAGGCCCUUCGGAGUGCUCCAUCUUGUACCGGUGCUAAGGAUGCCAUGUAGCCGAAAAAUCUGAUGUGUCACUAUAGUUAAGAGGAGAGAAAUGAGUUUGAUGACCCCAUAAAAAAACAAUGCCAAGCGUGGGAACCUAGGCACAAUUCUUAAAUGAAGGAAGCACGCGAAUGCAUGCACUAAUAUAGUUGCCAAAUCAUUUAAUAAAGUGAGCUUAGCUACAACAAGUUAAGCAUGUAUGCAUUGGAGGCUUUAGUUGCUAAAGUAUUUUAUGUGCUUAGCACCUCAUCUAAGCACUUGUGCAUUGGAACAAGCCUUAGGUAGAGAGAGGAAAGCAAUUAAAAGGGAGAGAGAGCAUUGUAGUGACUCAGGAAAAAGUGCCGCUAAACGCGUGAACCUAUGUAAAAUGAUUACCAAUCAAUGCAUGAAGAAGUUUAAUUAUUUAAUAAUUUUGUAAGGUAAGCUUAACAACAAAAGCUAAGAGCAUUUCCAGCCGUUUGGCCUCAGCGCACCCAACGAAGUGUGUUGGGCGUUUCUGUCGGCGCCUUUUUUGGCCUCGGGGGAUCAAGUUUCAAGCCACGCCCUCGGGUUUCGCCCCCUAACGCACAAAAAAUUCAAAGUUUUCUUUCCCGCUACAAAAAACAAACAAAUUAGGCGAUCAUCAUGCCACAGGUCGGCGAUCAUCAUGCCACAGGGUCAGUGAUCGAACAUAGCCAAAGUCCGGCGAUCAAAAGGGUAGGAACCAUAUAUGUAGAACUCAAAUGAAAGGAUCCUCCGCUGUAAGGCUAGGGGAGGUCGGCAUCGUCGUCGGCAUUGUGGGCACAACUUCAGUGCUCGGCGUCGUGGGCGUAGCGCUCGGCAUCGUCAAGCCCAGGGGCCUUGCCAUCGGCGUCCUCGGCUUCCUCUGCUUUGGCUGGGCGAAAUCGAUGGCUUGAUAAGGGGGCACAUACUUCUUCGGCGGCAUGACGGGCGGGUGUGGGCAGAAUGGCGGGAUUGGCGGGGGAGAAGAGCGUAGGUAAUGGGAAAAUGGAGGGAAAUGGGAAAACGGCGAGAAAAUUGGUCGGUAUCGCCGACAGAACGGGCCCACGUGCCUUUUCGCUUCAGCCAGUGCCCCUAGGAGACCCCCGGGGCAUUGGGUUCCGAUUGGGUUAGUCGGUUGUAAUUUCAGCCCAAACCGAUGAAAACCGAGGAUCUCGGGAUGCGACUGGGACUUUUUUCGGCACCGGUGCUACAAAAGGCGCCCUGGGUGGCUGUUGGGGUGCGGAUGGAGAUGCUCUAAGCACCCAAGUAUUGGGAAGACUAGUUGCUAAGAUUUUUAAUACAUUUAGCACCUUAUCUAAGCACUGAUGCAUUGGAAGAGGCAUCAAAUGCCCGCGAAUCACGACCGCGGAUUACGUCUAUGGGCACUGAUCGCUCAGUCUUAAAAUUUCGUCAUCCACAUCCGAAUACCUCAUACUAUAAAUCUUAAAUCCAUACAAAAGUAUGCAAACAUAAAAAUCCACGUACCACGUAGAUCAUCUAUCCUACUCCUCCUCGCAGAUGUCGAAUAUCUCCGUGCCCGGCUAUGGGUACAUGGGCGGUGAUACGUCUCCAACGUAUCGAUAAUUUAUGAAGUAUUCAUGCCAUGUUUGCCUAUGCUUACAAUACUUGUAUAUGGUUCUGUUGCACUUUAUAUGAUUUAUUUAGAACUAACCCGGACUGACGUUGUUUUUAACAGAACUACCGUGGUGUUGUUUUUUUGUGUAGAAAUAAAGGUUCUCGGAAUUCGACAAAACUUUUUGACUAUUUUUCUAGAAGAAAAGAGAAAUACUGGAGCAAAGAACCAUCAGAGAGGAGGCCCAGGCUGCCCACUAGGCACCAGGGCGCGCGAGCCCCCGUGGCGCACCCUGGUACCUAGUGGGUACCUCGUGGCCCAUCUUACAUGAUUCUAACGCCCACAAAUCCUAUAAAUAUAAAAACCUCCAGAAAUUACCCUAGACGAGAAGUUCCGCCACCGCAAGCCUCUGUAGCCACAAAAACCAAUGGGGAGCCCGUUCUGACACCCUGUCAGAGGGGGACAUCAUCUUCGGUGGCCAUCUUCAUCAUCCCGACGGAGGGCCUGACGAGGAGGGAGUUGUCCACCCUCGGGGCCGAGGGUCUGUACCAGUAGCUAUGUGUUUAAUCUCUCUCUCUCUCUCUCUCUCUCUCUCUCUCUCUCUCUCGUGUUCUUGAUAUGUCAUGGUAUUGAUAUAUCAUGGUCCUUGUUAAUAUAGUUGGAUCAUAUGGUGUUUGCCCCAUGCUAUUGUUGUGAUGAGUUGAAUCUUUAACUUUAAGAUCUCGUUAUGUUGGAUUGAAUAUUCAGGUUUGAGAGCACAUGAUAUAUGUCUUCCAUGCGGAUACCCGUAGUGACAUUGGGGUAUUCAAGUGAUUCACUUGAUAUAUAUUUUGGCACUCAACUCACGGAUACCCGAGGUGACAUUGGGAUAAUCUAUGCAUAGGGGUUGAUGCACGUUUUCAUACUAUGUUCUUCGAUAGAAAUCUUGGGGUGCUCCUUGAAGUUAUUUGUGUUGGAUUGAAUAUGAAGAACCUGAAAUUGUUGCAUGUCGUAUAAUUAGCCCACGGAUAUUUGAGGUGAAAUUGGAGUAUUUAGGUGACAUUAGAGUUGAUUGAUAUGCAUUGGUGUUAUUUUAGUACGAACUCUUGAAUAGAUCGAUCGGAAAGGAUAACUUUUUAUCUUAGUACGAACUCUUGGAAAGAUUGAUCGAUCGGAAAGGAUAACUUUUUAUCUUAGUACGAACUCUUGGAAAGAUUGAUCGGAAAGAAUAACUUUGAGGUGGUUUCGUACCCUACAAACAAGUUCUUCUUAUGUUCCCCACUAGGUAGGAAUUUUGGACUGAUUUUUUAUCUCACGUUGAGGGAUUGUUAUGUGAUCCAAUUAUAUUAGCAUUGUUGAGAGAUUUUACUAGCGAAAGUACGGACCCUAGGCCUCAUUUUCAAGCACUGCAAUAUCACUUGUGCUCACUUUUGUUACUUGCUACCUUGCUGGUUUUUAUUGUUCCUAUUACAAAAAUCAAUAUCUACUAUCAUUACUACACUUUUAUCACUAUUUCUUCACCGAACUAGUGCACCUAUAUAAUUUACAAUUGUAUUUGGUGUGUUGGGGACACAAGAGACUUUUUAUUAUUUGGUUGCAGGAUUGUUUGAGAGAGACCAUCUUCAUCCUACUCCUCCUACGGAUUGAUAAACCUUAGGUCAUCCACUUGAGGGAGAUUUGCUACUGUCAUACAAUACUCUGCGCUUGGAGGCCCAACAUGAGUCUACAAGAACAAGUUGUGUAGUAGACAUGAGGCGACAACUGCAACUCAUGCUCCGGCAGCUCCUCCGGCUUCUCUACAUCGUCCUCCGAUUCAAGUUCAGUGAAAAGAGCAUCGAUCACCGCCAGCUUCUGCCGAAUGAAGCGUCGGUUGGCCUCCAUAUAGGCAUCAUACUGGAUGGACUCCAGCUCCGCCAUCUCCUCCGCUUGAGCGACGAUGAACUCCGCCUGCACGUGCUCAAUGUUGAAGCCCGGAGCCGAUGCCACCUCCUGCUCNNNNNNNNNNNNNNNNNNNNNNNNNNNNNNNNNNNNNNNNNNNNNNNNNNNNNNNNNNNNNNNNNNNNNNNNNNNNNNNNNNNNNNNNNNNNNNNNNNNNUUUUAAAGAACGUUCGUCAAAUUUAAGAAAGGUUCAACGAUUUUGAUACAAAGUUCAGUGAUUUUGAAAAACGUUCAUCGAAUUUGAGAAGGGAUCAUCAAUUUUGAUAAAAAAGUUUAGCUGUUUUGAAAAUCGUUUAUUGAAUUURRAAAAAAAAGCUAAUCAAUUUUUWAAACAAAAAAUCAUCAAAUAUGAAAAAAAGUUCAUAAAAUUUAAAAGAUGUUCAUAAAAUUUGAAAGAAAAGUUCAUCGAAUAUGAAAAAAAGUUUUUCAAAAUUGAAAAAAGUUCAUCAAAAUUGAAAAAAAGUUCAUAGAAUUUGAAAAGAAGUUUCUUUGAUUUGAAGAAAAUUAAUUCAAGAAUUUGAAAGAAAAUCAUCGAGCGAGGAAGAAAAGAUGAAAAAGAAAAGAAUAAACAGAACGUAAAAUGCAAAAAAAGGAAAAAAAGAAAAAAAGAAGAAGGAAAGAGAAAAUAAGAAAAGAGGCAACGAGAUGCAAACUCACAUAUCAUAUCAAGGAAGGUGGUGUGGUGCCGCGGUGGUUACCCCAAUGUAGAUUGAUGGGUAUCUUGCUAAUUCGAUCCCCUGCGGCGGUGUCAUUUUUGUUUUACAAAGAAAGCGGAGAUGGGUCGGCCCAGCCGCCCCGUUGGAGGUAUCUAGGGUUUUACGUCGAUCCUAACAUCGAUAUUGAAGAGAAUGCGUGCAAUUUAUAGUUGAGAGGCAGUCGCGUCAACACACCAGGUGUCUUGAACACAUAACACUAAAAUACACGAUAUACCCAGCUUCAUGACCAAGUAAUGUGUUGCUCUUUUCUUUAUAUGUAGAAAAUAUAUAGGAAUAUAUAGGAUUACCAUGCAUAGAGAGGAACCCGACUAGUUCGAGGAAUCUCAAUGAGUUUAUGAUGAUGGUGGUGAUCUCGGCCAAGAACGUUGAAAAUAGCAUACACAUUAUGGGCUCUUUGUAAGGCAAGGGAUACGGUCCCCCUCUACGGUGCCCUUGUUGCCCCCUCCAUAACCAGACCUUUCAAAGCCGUCUCGAACGCCCAGAUAGCCUUACCAGUCAUAGAAAAGCGACCUAGACGGGCGCCCUAAAUGCGCCUCAAAUGGCCGGGCUGACCGUCACCCCUCAUAUUCAGCCCAAAUAUUAGUCGGAUAUGGGGGUGCUCGCGCGUCCGCUAUGACGGUCUGGUGGCAUGGACCCAUGGGUAAUCACCCGGAAAUCUGGCGGUACGACGGACGCCUCCUCAGGUGAGGUGCGUGACGCCGGUCCGGCUCAUCGUCCCAGGCAAAUUCGGCUAUUUUAGUUGACUAGCUCCCCCUGACCCUAUCCCACACACCUCCUUCCUAUCUGCGUCGCCAGCCCGAGCCCAUUCAUCUCCUCUCUCUCGCUCUGGUGCUCUUCCCACACUCUUCGGUGGUGCCAUGGUCCGAGCAAAGAUCACCACCUACACCAUGCUCAUGACGGAGCGCCGAUACCAAAUAAAGCAGAAGAUUUGGGCGAGGCACGCCGCUCGCAUUGCUUUCGGGCUGCCAUUGAACUUGUCGGAGACGGAGAAGAGAAGGAGGAGGCGCAGGCGAAGGAGGGGAGAGUAUAUGUUGCCCGCUCCGGUGAAGGAGGAGUAGGCGAACGGGAAGGAGGGAGAGGAGUUGCAGCCCGCUUCGAUGGAGGCAGAGCUGUCGGAGCAGGAGGUGGCANNNNNNNNNNNNNNNNNNNNNNNNNNNNNNNNNNNNNNNNNNNNNNNNNNNNNNNNNNNNNNNNNNNNNNNNNNNNNNNNNNNNNNNNNNNNNNNNNNNNAAAAUUUUAUUUGUUGUGCAGAUAUUCUUAUGCUUGUUCUGGUUGGUUUCGAGAUAUUGGUCAUCAUUCACCAAAACUUGCUGGUGUACUUGUUAAGCUGUGAGGAUCAUAAUGUGGGAAUAACUGAUAUUUUGCUGAUUUGCUAUUGAAACUAAGGUGUGCAGUUUCUUCAGUUCGAUGCUAUAUUGAUAGGAUAGGAGGUGUACCUGCAUUUUUCAUAAGCUUUGGUGCUAAAUGAAAUUUUGUUAAUUACAGGAACUUUUUACAAGAAUACCUUUCUUACCAUGUCAGUGCUUGCGUCGAGCAGAUUGAGAUCUCGGGCUUUCACUAAAUGGUAUGCCUUGUCUAUUCACACUCUUACAGAAGUAUAAAAGGACUCGUGUAUUUGUCUUACGUUCCGAACUUUUUAGGCUGAACUAAGCUUCUUGGUUGCUGAAUAGACGUGGUCCGUGGACAACUUUGGAAUUGAACAAUGCAGCAGUAGCAGAUUUGUGGAAAGGUCAGUAAACCCCUGCUGAAAUUCGUGAUGGGUUUAGCUAUGUAGAUUGAAUUCAGUGUGCAAUUUUCGAACUCUUAUUGCCACAUGAGACCUAUGUUAGAGAACUUCCUGCUUUCUUGAUAAGUUGGCAGUCUAGCUUUUGAGCACACUCAUAAUCUCUGAAUGCAUUGUCAUGCUGAAUUAAGUUACACAAGAGAGUUUUCAGCUGAUACAUAUAGUGGUAAAGGUAGAGAACACUUGUUACUAGAUGAUUGAUGAACAUUGAUUGAGCAAAAAAAGACUUGAGCUUGCUAAUUUUUAUUCCUAGAACCUCCUGAAUUUAGUAUGGUGAAGGUGAUUUUAUUCUCUUCUUCAUCCCGAGUAUUUUGUUCUGUCCCACCAUUGCCAAAAACAGCAUAUUUCGUAAGUCUUUGAUUAUUGCAAUCUGAAUUUCUAGUGCGUAUUGUUAAGUUUGAUGUUCCUCUAGUCUGAAGUCUUUGAAAUCCAGUCAUUCCAUUUGCGUAACUUUUGUUGUCUAGCCUCUUCAACACUCGUCAUUGCAUUCCUUCAUCAGGAAACUCUGCUGGUGUACAUAUACAGAUCCCAGAAAAUAAACCAUUUCUUCCAUGUGUUCACACCAUACCUACCUAACCACCUACCUAUAAUCACAUCUCUCACUAUCCCACAGUAGUUGGUUAUUCCAUAAGCACAAAUGCACAAUCAUCAAGUUAAAAGAAGACUCAAAAGCGCUUUGUUGUCAUUGACCCUGCAAAUUUCAUCAUUAUGAAGAGCUAUAUUCGUUAAUAUCUAUGCCUCUCUCACAAAAGUCAAAAAAGUAAUAAAGAAAAAGAGUGAGGGAGGUCAUUCAAAAGAUUAAAGGUUCAUCCACAAGCAGGAAGAAAUAGUCAGCAGUCCUUCCAUAUUCAUGUGCAGAAUGCAAAAUGGCUAAUCAAACUACUAUAUACCUAUGCAAUAUUGACAGCUGGAGUAUGAGUCGCAUCCUGAGACCACCUUGCAUUGCAUAGGCAUCUCAAUCAUUUCUUUGGCGUGAGUCCAUCCCUCCCACAUCCCCUGGACACUACCUUUCCCCAAUGACUGGAAUGUGAAGAUUUCUCUGUACUGGAGUUGAACUCUUAUUUAGCUUUGCAAUCUUGAUUUUAGAUUUGCUCGUUCUUUCAAUUACCCUACCAAGAUCCAGAUAAGCUUCCACAAAUAUAUUGUAGAUAGGAAAACACUUUGGCCACUGGCCAGUGAGGAUUACAAUUAUGUGAUGAGAGUAAUUUCGGAUCAUGAUGAGGUAAUCUCACUAGAUACCUGCUCUUGGAAGGUUCGCAAAGAAAUAAAAUUGUUGGCUACUCCUGUUUCCAUUUGUUCUUGACAUUGAAGUCAAACAACCAAGUGAUUAGUGUUCAAUAACUGUUAUAGCUAUAUUGUUGAUGCUGGUUACUCUCAAAAAAUAAAAUCCAUUCCCUACUGGCAAUGAAUAAGAGUAGUUAUUUAAGUGUGUGCUCAAUCGUUAGCUUGCUACUUUGACAAGUUUGUGGGAAGUGCCUCUGUCCGAAGCUCAUGAGGAUUAUAGUAACUGUUUGCACAUGAGCACUUGUUUCCAAUCUAGCUAUGCUAAGCUUUCAGGUUUUUCACAAGCACAUGGGCAAGUUGAAUCAGGAGCCUAAAUCAUCUGGCCACGAUCUGAGACACUUUUUCUCGAGUGAAGAAUCAGAAAGGGAGAAGCCUGAGACAAAUCGUACCUUUUGUUUCUCUUUGUAGCCACUUUCUCCCUGAUAAUGCUAUAAGGAAGAGAGAAUGGUUUUUUCACACCUAGUACUAUUUUCCUUGUAGCUUCAACCUUUAGCAGGUUUUGAUGAGUGGUACGAAAACAGGGCAAAAAACUUCAUUUGUUUUCUCGGUGUGGACAAUGUAUAUCCAGUGAAAUGAAAUUCAGUUCUUUGUAAUAGUAUCUUCAUAUCUGAACCUAUGCUUGGGUGUCACUUUUGGUUGCCUGUGCUAAAGCAUAGUUAAAUAAAGGCACUGCAAUGGUUCACUGCAGGAUCUUCCUGGUUGCCUUUUAAUACCCAAUUGGCAAUUUGAAGCAAUCAUUGUGGCCAUGUUGUUUUUCUUUUAUGAGGAAAACAAAUGAUGUGAUUUAUGUUUACACAGGGGUUUUGCUAUAUGCACAGGCAGAUAGGCGACUCGGGCGACCNNNNNNNNNNNNNNNNNNNNNNNNNNNNNNNNNNNNNNNNNNNNNNNNNNNNNNNNNNNNNNNNNNNNNNNNNNNNNNNNNNNNNNNNNNNNNNNNNNNNCAGGAGUGGAAAGGGGACUUGGGCCUUGGCAGGCCUCCUCUCUCCCUCAACUGACUUUUAAAAAAACAGAAACAACCACAAAGAAAGGUUUAACAAAAUAAAAAAAUGCCUUUGACUCCUUUAAAAAUAUACCCCAACUAUAAAAAUAGCUUGGGCAUCUUUUAACGAAUAAAAUUGAAACCUUUUGAAGAAUAAAACAAAACCCCUUCUAUAAAUAAAAUGAGUCUCUAGUUUUAAGAAUAAACAAAAGGAAAAAAAUAAAGGAAACCCAAGGGCUUGCCCCCCACAUUUAACAAAAAGACUUUUAAAAGAAGACGAAUCUUUUGAGGGGGUUAAAAUUAAAAUCAAUCGCAGCCACAAAAAUAGAAUAGAGAGGAGAGAAGGGUUUUACGUCCUCGGUGCAACAGGGUUUUGAAGUGGCUCUGUUGCACCCACUCUCAUCACUCCAACAAAACAACGCCACUCACAAGCAUUAACACCCAACAACACGGAGCAACAAGCAACACCGACAAAACACAGUUGACAUGAUGCCAUGCAUGAUGCCAUGAUGCGCAAGAUGAAUGCAACAAACAAAACAACCACACGACGGAAACGGAAAUAAAGGGGAAUCUUCUGGAACGUCGGCAUCGGGCUGUCACAACUCUCCUACAUUACAAGAGGAUCUUGCCCCGAGAUCCAAGAAUGAAAGGGGGGNNNNNNNNNNNNNNNNNNNNNNNNNNNNNNNNNNNNNNNNNNNNNNNNNNNNNNNNNNNNNNNNNNNNNNNNNNNNNNNNNNNNNNNNNNNNNNNNNNNNCUCCUCCCCGGUGCGCCUUGGUUAGCCCUCCAGGACCCCGGCCUCCUCCUGCCGAUGCCUUGCUGCCGUGCCUUGCUGCCAUGUUGCUUGUGCUGCUUGCGCUAGCCAUGUCGUGCCAUGCUUGUUGUUUGCCUGCAUGUCGCUGCUGCCGUUUGCUGCUACUGGCAGUUGUUUGGAGAUGCUCUUGCUGCUGUGGCCAGAUGCUGUUGCCAUGUGCCGCUGCCUAUGCCGAGCCCGAUGUGUGCCUGUCUCUGUUGCCUGCGCUUGCCGUUGUCGGCUGAUGCAUGUUGCUGAUGUGUUUGCCUGCUACGAGCUGCUGCUAUUGCUGUCGCCGAUGUGCUGUUGCUGCCUGCCUGCUUGCUAUGCUGUAGCUGCUGUUGUAGCUCGCCGCCGCUGCUUGCCGUAUUGCUAGUUGUUGCUUGCUUUGCUGCUAGCCGAGGCUAGAUGAUGCUAGCUUGCUUGUUGCCGGCUGCUGCUGUAGUAAGCUAGGUAGUUGAUAGUUGCUAGCUGCAGUUGUUGCUUGCUGCUGCUUGCCUGCGUAGCUAGUUGCUAGCUGUUUGCUGCUAGGCUAGUAGCUGCUGCCGAUGCCGAUGCUUGCUAAUAGAUGUUGCUUGCUUGUGAUGCCGCUUGCCGUCGCCGCUUCGACCAUCCCCGACGCUGUGGAAUCAACAAGUUCACUAGUAGCACGACGUCCCCGACGACCCCCGGACAUCUACGAAACCGUGUACGACUACCGACGCCGAAGACCCGUGUACCGACGCCAAGAGUACGACCACCGCCGACAAGACCGCCGUGCACGACUACUUCCACUACGACCACGACUUCCACUAUGACCACGACGAUCUUUGUUCUCCUUCACCGAACCGAACCGCUCCGAUAUGCACGCUUUGAAGGUAUACCGUUGGGACGUGUCGUGUACCGAAUGCAAAUGUUGUAUGAGAUAUAUCGUAUGUUUGCGCCGUAUGUUUGCCCGUUGCACGUUGCCUCUCUUUCGUCGCGCCUUCGACACAUGGGAACACGGUAGCGGGAUCACUCCAUCUUUAUCUAGCGUUCCCGCACACGCUUCCUAUACGUUGGCACGAUAUCUCGACGAGUUAUCGGGAUAGGAAUGUUGUCGUGGCAUCGUUUCCGUUUUGCCGCCAUAGUUCCCUCUCGCUCGCCGUGGCGACACUUGUUUCUUUCUCUUCUUGCCCGUGAUGUUUGAACUUUUGGAUGACGCAUUCAUGGCAUGAUACCUUGUGUUGCAUGUCUCUUGUACGUAGCUCCGUUCUAUGUUUUGCGUGUUAACCAACUAGGAUGACAGGUAGAAUCAUCGCUUCACCCCUUGCCAUGUUAACAACAUUAAAUAUUGCCAUGUAAAUUAACGGGAGUGAACUAAAUAUUUAAUCGUGGAGUUUCGUCGAUAUGCAACUCGUUGCAUAUCGAGCUUCACUUAAUGUGUAGUGUUUGCGUGAGGUGAAUUGCCAUGUCAUGCCUUGCAUCUUUGAACUAAUCAUGCAUCAUAGUAGAUUGUGCAUCAUGUUGUGCAUCGUGUGGUGAAUAUCUGUGUUGAUGUUUGUUUCCUGUUUGCUCCGUCUCGAUAGAGUUCCGCAAGCGUGUCGGAAUGUGAGGACCCGUUCGACUACGUUGGUUCGUCGACUUCACGGAUUUGUUCUUCUUCCAAGCGGGAUAUCAGGCAAGAUGACCAUUUCCCCAGAUACCAUUACUAUCAUUGCCAUGCUAGUUUUACCGUUUCUAUCGAUUAUGUCUCGUUGCCUACCACAUGUUAAAUAGCAGCCUCUCAACAAUUGCAUGAUAACCUUCACCCUGUUCGACCUAGCAAACCACUGAUUGGCUAUGUUACUGCUUGCUUAACCAUGGUGUUAGCAUUGCUAGAUGCAGGUGCCGUUGCUUCCAUGUGAUAACAUGGGUUCCUUGUUGUAUCACUAUGUUAAAUGCUAUUUAAUUUAAUGCACCUAUAUACUUGGUAAAAGGUGGAAGGCUCGGCCUUUCUAGCCUGCUGUUUUGUUCCACCUUUGCCCCUUAGUUUCGGCUACCGGUGUUAUGUUUCAUAUUUGAGCGCUCCUAACACGAUCGGGGUUGUUAUGGGGACCCCCUUGAUAAUUCGUUUUAGAUUAAAGCUGGUCUGGCAAGGCCCAACUUUGGUACUACAUUUGCCUAAUAACUAAUGAACUGCAUAGGGAGUAAUUAACCCGAGGAAAUUUAAUCAACCCCCGGGCCAGUGCUCCUCAUGAGUGUUAGUCCAAAAUGGACAGACUGCGGGGCCACCACGGGGCAACUCGAGGUUUGGUACCUGUAGGCUUUUCCAUCCGCCGUGUCCUGAGAACGAGAUACGUGCCUCCUAUCGGGAUCGUCGACACGUGGGCGGCCUUGUUGGAUUAGUUUUACCUUUGACGGAAUAUCUUGUGCAUCGGGAUCCCGGUGAUGCUUUGGGUAAUCUCAGAGUUGAGGUUUUCCACUAGGGAAUCCGAUGAGAUCGCGAGUUUUGUGAUUGAGGAUUUCUAUGCGGCUUGUGGUAAUUUGUGAUGGACUAGUUGGGGCACCCCUGUAGGGUUAAAUCUUUUCGGAAAGCCGUGCCCGCGGUUAUGUGGCAACGUGGAAACUUUGUUUAACACUGGUUUUAGCUUGUGGCGAGUGUAAGCCAAUUCUGUAUAUAUCUCUUCUUUUCAGUACAUGUACUUGUAACGAUAUCCAUUCUUGCGACACAACGAGAUGCGCUUCUAUCCCUGACAAGGCUCUCGUGCCAAAUUGAGGAUAUGGUCGCAUCUUGGGCGUGACACAACAUCCACGUCAACACCAUCACAACAGCGAGGCAGUUGAGUUGCGCUACACCCAGACACAUCAGCCUGCUAUCCGCCGUGACGUUCGGGUCGACCAGGGGGCGACGGAGCGGUGGCGUGGAUGGCAGCCGGCGGGCGGCAUGGGGGCGACGGAACGACGGCGUGAGGGCCGACAGCGCGACGGGGCGGCGUGGGGCUGUCUCUUAUANUCUAAGAAGGGACGUUAGAGAAGCUACAUUACCCUAACUUGCCUUCUUUCAAUCUAUAUGAUUAUGGCUAAAAUGAUUUAAAUUAGUUUGCAAAUUACAGAUCUACUAUGUACAUUUAUAGUAAUUACAUACAAACAAACUAAUGGUGAAAUAAAAUUAAUUUUAAAUUAUUUAUAUCUGCAGUAAAUAUCAACGGUAAAUAACAUACUAGUAGUCCCUAACUUUCCUUCUGCAUUUUACAUUAGGUUAGCACUGUAGCACGGUGACAUCCCCUAAAAAAAACACGAUGGAGGAAGGCGAAACAAGGCGGCCGGCCAUGGCUUCGCCGGAGUUCGUUGCCGGCGGCGGUAGGCGACUCACGCCUCCCCUCGCUCUCCGCGGAGCACGGCGACGGCACGGCGUCCGACCCGAGUCCGUAAGCGCAUCUUCUUCCAAACCCUUGUUUCUCCCUGGCUGGUCCGGUUGGGUCUAUGGAUCCGAUGCGCGUGCGCGGCGUCGGGAAGGGAGGAUCGAGGAGGGGGUCCUCCCCGAUUAGAGCCCCCUGGCUGGUGUUGUGAGUUCUAGUGUUCUCCUGCAACAUUUGGGAAGGUUUCGUCUUUAUACUAGUAUAUGAGUUUUGUCAGGCUUUUUUUUUAUGUAAAGGGGUUUCUAUGAAUGCGUGUUAAUCAUGCUGGCUGCUUGUUAAUUACGCUUGUUAUAAAGAGUAAUUAGAGUUGACAACACCGAAAUUGGUGCUCUGUUUCAAUUUCGAGGCCUCCUUCCUCACUUGCCUCAUUAUAUAGCCCUGUUUCUGAAUUUUUCUGUUUUAUAACAGACCAAAAGGACUUGAUGUGUUUUGAUUCAUUUGUCAGAAGUAACCUCGCGUGACAUGUUAUAUCAGUUUAUGACAUACACAGCCACUGGGUUCUGGUCUGAAUCGCUUGCUUGCACGGCAGAACCACCUACACCUAUGCUUGGUGUGAAAUCAACCCAUAUAUGCAUCCUGUGUCUAUGCUAUUCUGCCACCAGCACCAGUUGUAUUUAGGAUACAGCAGUUGGCACGAGAUCUGAAGCGGCGUUCUUGGUUUUGCCGUAGGUGCAGUGCAUUGAAGCCGCGAUUGCUGUAGUGAGCUCGUUCCGCCCAUUGCUUGGAGCGUUGGUUCAUCACGUGCUGCUGCUCACAUUCAAAUCUACCAACUCGUCCAUGGCUCCAUCCUUAACUGGGGCUCGGUCUUCUCGCACUCGAGUCAACCCCUCUGUAAUUGCACCAUCACCGCGAAGACCGCGAUACCACCGGCCGACCAGCUUGAGAUCUGAAGGACGAGCUUCGCGCCACCUGAUCUGAACGCUUGCCUGGCAACUACAUUAGUUUAGCUAAUCAGAUCCAUUGAGGGCAGCCACGCCUACUAUUUUUUUCAUAGUUUUAAAUAGCUGGCUAUAGCUUUUUCAGCAGGUGCCGUUAAAUGGUAUCAUGUACAAAUAGACCGCUAUAGCUGAUUUAGAGGCCCACCGCUAUGACCCGCUAUAGCUGAUUUAGAUGCCCGCCGCUAUUUGCCAUAAGACGCUAUUUAAAACAUUGAUUUUUUUACUUAGACAAACUUGAGUGACCACAUUAGUUUUGCCCAAGCCAAAUUCAGUAACACAAUCAGCGAUUCUUAAAAACAGAAGUAAUACAAGCAGCGGUUUCCAAUGGCCACAGGAAUCGACCAUGUCCACAAGAUGGGCAGGCAGGGCUGCGGCACAUGGGUUCAAUUAUUCGCAGUGUAGCCAGCUGGGAGUCUCCGUCUCCAAAACCCAGCAACCACAUUGCUUCCCAAUGGCACCUAAAAUUAUGAGAUCCAACACCAGAUCUGAAGCCAGGUCAAGAUUUUAAUUUCACGCCACCGAGCACUUAAUUAGUUGGCAGUGAUUCUUUUUGUUCGAUCCCAUCCGUGGGGUUGACUUAACAUUUUUUUACCAGUACGGUUGCAUUAUUCAAUAGGACUAUAUGGGAGUGACUUGACAUUUUGUUUACCAGUUUACUUGAAGGACGUAAUAUUUCAUAUUUCCAUGUCACCGUUCUAGUGCCAUGAUUGUAAGCCACAACUAUCUACCGGUAAACCAAGUUAGCUGGCAGGGUGAGACUAUGUCGGCAUAGUAUCCCUCCAAUCUCUACUUCCCAUGGUGGCAUCUUCGAUAGGGAGGUGGAUUUUCGUCCCUAGUUCUGUUCCUGGGCCUGGAUGGGGAUAUUCGGUGUUCCUGGCUGCCGUCUUUCCCUGUAUUCUGUGCUUUGCUUUAUUGAUGCAUGUUGUUUUCCAUUGCUUCCUUUUUGUUUCCACAAGGCAUUCUUCUGUUAGGUUCUACUAUUCAUCGGAAUAACGGAACAGAACACCGUUUGGUCUAAAAUCCAUGGUUUGAGCUUCCUGUUGUCUCCUGUUCGUUGUCUUGUACCUUCCUCUGAGAGUCAACUCUGCCAUUGCCAACCACGAGAUGAGUAAAGUAACCAGGCAGGGAAGGGAGACUCCAAAGUCUGGCGUCAUUGUUUAUAAUUCGCUGAUGCUAACCACGUUCAUUCACAUGCAUCAUCGCCGUGAAGAUAUGUGAGAUCUGAAGCUUACUUAGUCGCCUCACAAGAUGCUUAGAAGGCUUCGCUAAUUUAAGUCCCAUUAUUUCCGUUGUUGACAUUGCCGCACUUAUAGCUGCCGAUCAUCUCUCUGUAAUCUUAAGAGAAAAAUACUCGUAUCUGUACAUAUCAUCCCUCGUACUAUUUAUCACCAGCUCUACUUUUUUGAAUUAGUCCCAGUGGUGGUUUAAUCUCUUGAGAUUUCACUCACUGUCAAACUUUGGGUGUACAUCUACCAUUGCUUUUAGCAUCAAUUGACAAUGGGAGCAUAAACAUAGCAACUGGACUAAAGUAACACUAACACUUCGGCACUGCCCGUUGGAACUGGAAUGCUCACAUGCCUUCUCCGUUCAGACCGGGAAGGAAUCCCAGAAAAACAAGGCCUUACCACGAGAUGAGUGAAGUAAGCGGCUCAAGACUGAAUGGGGGACUUGGUGCAAGAUUUGAAGGUGAGUUUUCGUUUUCUAUUUCGCGGCACCGGGUUCUUAAUUAGCUGACAACUUUUGUAAUGUUAAGUUCCAUCCAUAUCCGCUGGGGACAUUGCACACUUGCAGCCGCUAGUCAACACUUCUAGUACUCACCAUCAACUCCCCUCACACAUCUGCCAUUGAUCCAUCCUUAGCUGUGCUUCCCAGCUCUAUCUUUUCUUUUUUCGAGAUGAACACCUGCUCUCUCAGAAUCUGUCCCAACUGGUGGUUUUACUCAGUCCAAACUCGGGUGUACACAUGCCAUCACCUUCAGCAACAAUUGACAACAGAAGCAUGACAGUAGUAAUUGAAUCAAAGUAAAGACUCACUUUGCUUUUGCUCUAGGCUGUCAUACAUGUAAAUGAAGUCCCAUAAAUAGUCGCACAAACCAUCAUCUACCGAGGAACAUCAUUGCUAAUACGUCGCCAGUACAAGGUUCCAUGUUGUUUAGCGAACUUGGCUGACGAACACGUCUUCUCCAGGCUACGCCAUGCAUGGGGCCAGUAAUGCAAGCAACUCAACAAAUUAACUUCCAGCGCUCCCUUUUUUUUGGAAAUAGCAGUACUCUGUUGUUGAUGCAUGUAGCAGCGCCAGCCAUGGGACCCUAGCCUGUGAUUAGUUACUUGGGCCCUGUUUGUUUCAGAAGUCCCGAGACUUUUUUUAGUCCCAACUUAAAAGUCCCUAGUCCCUACCGUUUGUUUUCAGGAACUAAAUAGGGACUAGAGGUCAUUAAAUGACAUGCAAAAAGACCAUGUUACCCUUAGUAAUGUAGUAGUAGUUAUUAAAUGACAUGCUAAAAGUAAGGGCAUUGUUGGAAAAAGUGCCAAAAAAGUCCAAAAAGACCCUCCCAUAGGAGCUUCUCCAAAUAGUCCCAAAUACCCCCUUUUAGUCCCUAAAAGUUCCUCCUGUUUGUUUCACAUGGGACUUUUUGGGAUUUUUUUUAGUCCCUACACCAAAAAGUUCCUGGAAACAAACACCCCCUUACUUCCCAUGAUCCCCAUUGGCACUAAAACCAGGAAACCCAACGCGAUCUGAACCCAAGUCUCGAUUUAAUUUCGCACCACCGAGUGAUUAGUUAAUUGGCAACGAUUAUUUUAGUUGAUCCCACUCAUCGAAAUGACUUGACUUGACUUGACUUGACGCACUCAUGUCCUUAUAUCUCCCCUCCUCCUGCAUGUAUCUCCCAUCCUACACAUCACACUGCAGUUUGCACAUCAAAACCCUCUCUGGCAUUGCUCCCUCCGUUGCAUCACAUCGCCUGCCUUCACGGCAAGGGAGUUCAUACUUCAUACCGGUGAGUAAAUUGUUCUUCCUAAUUACUCUAGCAGCAGCAUGUGAUAUAUCAGCAUAACUUGGGACUAACUGCUUGUGCUAAUGGUUUGCAGCGUGACAACCGAUGGACGUUGCCGUCAGUGCGGCAUGGUGGGUGGUAGGCAAGGCACUGGGCCCCGUCUCAGAUGGCUUCCUGGAGGCUUGGGCGGCUAGCAAGGAUCUCGGCCCCAACGUUGACACACUCAAGAUGGAGCUGUUGUACGUGCAAGGGAUGCUCAACAACACCCGUGGCAGGGAGAUCGACAACCCGGCCCUGAAUGAGCUACUGCAAAAGCUGAGGCAGCUAGCAUACGGGGCCGAGGAUGUCUUGGACGAGCUGGAUUACUUCCGCAUCCAGGACAGCCUUUACAGCACCAGUGAGGCUGCUGACGAGCAUGCCAAGGGUUGCGUAUGCAACCUCUUCCUCAACGCUCAUCACACCGCCAAAGCUGUUGGCAAACUGCUUGGGUGCUCUGCUAACCCUCGUGAUCCUGGGGAACCGAGAUUAGAGGAAGAUACAAGGCAGCAAGUUCGCUGCUGCACUUGGCCAUGUGCCCGGAGAACUGCAAGUGCCAAUACCUCUUUGGUACCAAACACAGACCAAGCUGAUGGGGAGGCCAGCGGAUGCAUUCACAAGCUUGCUCGCAACACCGUGCGUACUGUCGGUAAACUCUUCCCUUGCUCAUCCUUCCCACAGGUUGAUGAUGAUGUUUCUGGCAAGUCAAUCCUUUGCGGUGCCUGCAUACGCAAGGCACCACAGCAAAAGCAUGCGAAAGAUGCACCAAAAUUAGAGUUUGAUAGGGUGGAUCUGUCUAAAAGAAUGAAGCAUAUUGUUGAGCAACUGCAGCCCUUGUGUGCAAAGGUUAUAGCCAUUCUUAAUCUAGAGCUAUUGGGUUCUAGUCAUACUACCAUCACAGACAUUCCCAAGAGUCCUUCCACCAGCACCUCUAACAUUAUAGAAUCAACACUGUACGGGAGGGACCCUGCAAAGAAGAGAAUCAUAGAUAGUAUCACUCAUGAUAAAUAUAGUGGCGAGAACCUAACUAUCCUGCCGAUUGUUGGUCCGGGUGGCAUAGGGAAGACAACUCUUAUACAGCACAUAUAUAACAGCCAAGAAGUGAAAACACAUUUUCAGAUCAAGAUCUGGAUAUGUGUGUCCCAGAACUUCAUUGUUAAUAAGCUGAUUGAAGAGAUUGAAAAAGCUAUACCUAGUGUGGAAGGUGAAAAAAAGGGUAGAGCAGAAGAGCUGAUUGAACAAAGAUUAAAUUCCAAAAGCCUUUUGCUUAUAUUAGAUGAUAUAUGGAAGUGUGAAUCUGAUGACUGGAAACGGCUUUUAGCACCACUCACAAAAGGACAGGCAAAGGGUAACGUAAUCCUAGUUACAACUCGGUUUCCAGCUGUAGCAGAAAUGGUUAAAACAACUGAUAGUUCAAUAGAUCUGGAGGGUUUAGAACACGGAGAGUUUAGGAAAUUUUUCCGUGCAUGCAUAUUUGGUGAUGAGAAAUCACAAAACGAUCAUGAUGGGUUACUUAAGAUUGGAGAUAGGAUUGCAGAUAAGCUAAAGGGGUCCCCUCUUGCAGCAAAAACUGUAGGUAGAUUAUUGAGGAAUCACCUUGAUGUGCAUCAUUGGACAAGAGUCCUAGAAAGUAGAGAAUGGGAAAUGCAGACCGGUGAGGAUAACAUUAUGCCUGCACUGAAACUUAGCUAUGAUUAUCUACCUUAUCAUCUGCGGCAAUGUUUUUCUAGUUGUGGUCUGUUUCCUGAAGACUACAAGUUUCACAGUGAAGAACUCAUUCAUUUCUGGAUAGGACUAGAUAUUUUAAAUCCUGGUGGUCGAAAUAAAACAAUUGAAGAUGUAGGUCAGGACAAUCUAAAUGAUUUGGUGAACAGUGGAUUUUUCAAAAAAGAUGAAACCGAGGGGCAUUAUAUCAUCCAUGAUCUGUUGCAUGAUUUAGCUUUAAAAGUUGCAUCUCAUGAAUAUCUUAGUUUGGAUCACUGCAGUGUGAGAUCAAUAGAAAUUCGGCCAUCUAUCCGUCACUUGUCGAUCGUAAUAGAUGGUCCAGAUGAUAGUAAUGGGAUAACUGAUGACAAAUUUAAGAGUGAGUUAAGGAAACUUAAGGCAAAAUUGAAGGUUGAAAACUUGCAAACAUUAAUUAUAUUUGGAGAAGGAGACAAAAGUUCUGUCAACAUUUUGGGUGAUCUGUUCAUGGAAGCAAAUGCUCUCCGUGUUCUUUGUUUGCCCACAUUAUCAUACCCCUUGGAAUCCAUGUUGCAUAACUUUUCAUCACUUCUGCACCUACGAUACCUAAAGCUAGGUACUUCUAUGAGCCAUAUGCAUUUACCAACGACUUUAUCUAGAUGUUAUCAUUUGAAGAUUUUGGAUCUACAGAAAUGGGAUGGUUCUUUUGUGUUACCUAGAGACAUGAGUAACCUUGCAAAACUAUGCCAUUUUCUCGCCCAAAAUGAUAAGCUUCUUUCGGGUAUUUAUAACGUGGGGAAACUAAAACUCUUACAGGAGUUAAAGGCUUUUCCAGUCAAGAAGGAAAUCGAAGGGUUUGAACUCAAUCAACUAGAGCAUCUGACCGAGCUAAGGGAAGUUAGCAUUUAUAACCUUGAGAAGAUACACACGAAAGAAGAAGCGGUUCAAGCAAAACUAAUACAGAAAGACUACUUGCACAAAUUAACACUAGAUUGGGACAGGGAGCGACCUAAUAGUGAGCCUGGCGCGGAUGUAGUGGUUCUUGAGAGCCUUCAACCACAUAGAAAUCUUCAGGAGCUGAGAAUUACUGGACACCGUGGCCCUUCUUGUCCAACAUGGCUAGGUGAUAACCUUGUUGUUCAGACUCUACAAUCUCUCUCUCUUCUCAGUUUCUUGGGAUAUUUUUCCUUCAUUUGGGAAGAUGUGGAAUCUUCGUGAGCUAGUAUUGUUGAAUAUUUCCACAAUAAAGGAGUUUGGUCUAGUGCAAAGCUUUUGCAAGUUAGUAAAGAAGAUUACAUUGACCGGCUUAGAAAAUUUUGAAAAAUGGGCACCACAGCCCACUCAUUACUUCCCUCACUUGCAAGUACUGAUUAUCGUAGAUUGCCCUAAACUCUCAGAGUUGCCAUUUUCAAGCCACAUUGUUUACCCACUGAAACAAGACUGGAACAUAGAUUGGUUUCCCAAACUACAAGAGCUUACGAUGGAAAAUUGCCCUGAAGUCUUGCUGCUGCCUCCUAUCCCAUGGACCCAAUCUCUAUGCUCUGUCGAGAUACGUGACGUGGGAUCAAAAUUACUGGACAAGUUGGUGUACUCAAAAUCAUCUUCUGGGGUAGGGCUGGAAGUUAAUGCAAAGGAUGGUCUGCAUAGCUUAGAUCAGUUGUUACUAUUCAGUCAACUAGCCGAGCUUCAGGGGUUGAUGAUCAAAAAUUGCCCACCUUUGGAGCUGAAGUAUUUUCUAAUGCUAACCUCAUUGAAGACAUUGUGGGCAUGGUCUUCAAAUCUUGGGGUGGUGGCAUCAGAAGUUCAGACUUGUGUAGAAUGGCAGCAUCCUAUCGAGUCCAUUGAAAUUCGGACAUCUAGUUCUUGUGGAAAGGAAUUGACACAUUUCCUAUCUCACCUCCCAAAGCUAUUCAAACUGGAAGUAUAUCGUUGUGGAAACAUAACACAGUUGGCUGUGGGGGUGGAUUUGCAGCAAACAACAGUACCAGUAGUGUCAUCGUCAACCUCUUUAGAUGUUAUUACAAUGGAUGAUACACAAGUGAAAGAUGAGCAGCAAGAAAUAGCAGAGGUGGAGAAGGAGGAGGCAAACACGGUGGAUGAUGAUGGGCUGUUGCUCCUCCCUGCACAUCUCUCCAACUCUCUGCAGAC